UUGACAGAAGAGAGAGAGCACAGCUUGAGUCUGUGCUAUUGUUGUUCAUCAUCUCUGGACAUGUUAU
rnacentral:pre_miRNA from 1 species